CGGACCCGUCCCGGGUCUGGCGGCCCGACCCCGGUACCUGGCACGGCCGGGGCGG
rnacentral:ncRNA from 1 species